rnacentral:rRNA from 1 species
UAAUACGUACCGUCCAAACGUUAUUCGGAAUUACUGGGCUUAAAGGGUAUGUAGGCGGCGCUGUUAGUCGGGUGUGAAAUCCCUCGGCUCAACCGAGGAAUUGCGCCCGAUACUGCAGUGCUUGAGGGAGACAGAGGUAAGCGGAACUGAUGGUGGAGCGGUGAAAUGCGUUGAUAUCAUCAGGAACACCGGUGGCGAAAGCGGCUUACUGGGUCUCUUCUGACGCUGAGAUACGAAAGCUAGGGGAGCGAAGGGGAUUAGAUACCCCCGUAGUCCUAGCUGUAAACGUUGAGCACUUGAUCGGGGAUCCCCCCAUAGGUUCUCGGUCGUAGCGAAAGUGUUAAGUGCUCCGCCUGGGGAGUAUGGUCGCAAGGCUG